UACGUAGGUGACAAGCGUUGUCCGGAUUUACUGGGCGUAAAGAGCGCGCAGGCGGUCGUUCAAGUCGAGUGUGAAAGCCCCCGGCUCAACUGGGGAGGGUCAUUCGAUACUGAUCGACUCGAAGGCAGGAGAGGGAAGUGGAAUUCCCGGUGUAGUGGUGAAAUGCGUAGAUAUCUGGAGGAACACCAGAGGCGAAGGCGGGUUACUGGGCUGAUACUGACGCUGAUGCGCGAAAGCCAGGGGAGCAAACGGG
rnacentral:rRNA from 1 species